UACGUAGGGUGCGAGCGUUGUCCGGAAUUAUUGGGCGUAAAGAGCUCGUAGGCGGUUCGUCGCGUCGGCUGUGAAAUCCCGAGGCUCAACCUCGGGUCUGCAGUCGAUACGGGCGGACUGGAGUUCGGCAGGGGAGACUGGAAUUCCUGGUGUAGCGGUGAAAUGCGCAGAUAUCAGGAGGAACACCGGUGGCGAAGGCGGGUCUCUGGGCCGAUACUGACGCUGAGGAGCGAAAGCGUGGGGAGCAAACAGG
rnacentral:rRNA from 1 species